rnacentral:rRNA from 1 species
AUUGAACGCUGGCGGCAGGCCUAACACAUGCAAGUCGAGCGAGCGGCGGACGGGUGAGUAAUGUAUGGGGACUGCCCGAUAGCGGGGGAUAACUACUGUAAACGGUGGCUAAUACCGCAUACUAUCGGAUAACCCAUAUGGGAGUAGCUCGUUGGUGGGGUAAAGGCUCACCUAGGCGACGAUCUCUAGCUGGUCUGAGAGGAUGAUCAGCCACACUGGGACUGAGAAACGGCCCAGACUCCUACGGAGGCAGCAGUGGUGAAUAUUGCACAAUGGGCGCAAGCCUGAUGCAGCCAUGCCGCGUGUAUGAAGAAGGCCGUAGGGUUGUAAAGUACUUGCAGCGGGGAGGCGUUACCCGCAGAAGAAGCACCGGCUAACUCCGUGCCAGCAGCCGCGGUAAUAC